UAAACUUUAAUUGUGAACUUCGAAACGAGGAAAUAUUGUUGAAAUGCCAGUAUAGUAUGCUAUGUAAUGGAACAAAGAAAUGGACAGGAGGAGUUGAUGGUCUUCUGAUCUUUAAUGGAGGGGUUAAGGAGACGCAGAGUGGAAAAAUAUUUGAAUAUGUUGACAGCAAUUCUGGUGAUUGGUUUGGAUUGGCAAUCAAGAAUUGGACAAAAGCUGAUGUUUUCGCACAAUAUACUUGUUGGAUGACAUUUGAGAAAAAUUAUUUAGAUCUUUUUGAACAACCUA
rnacentral:lncRNA from 1 species